CAGGCUUAACACAUGCAAGUCGAGGGGCAUCAGGAAGAAAGCUUGCUUUCUUUGCUGGCGACCGGCGCACGGGUGAGUAACACGUAUCCAACCUGCCCUUUACUCGGGGAUAGCCUUUCGAAAGAAAGAUUAAUACCCGAUGGCAUAAUGAUUCCGCAUGGUUUCAUUAUUAAAGGAUUCCGGUAAAGGAUGGGGAUGCGUUCCAUUAGGUUGUUGGUGAGGUAACGGCUCACCAAGCCUUCGAUGGAUAGGGGUUCUGAGAGGAAGGUCCCCCACAUUGGAACUGAGACACGGUCCAAACUCCUACGGGAGGCAGCAGUGAGGAAUAUUGGUCAAUGGGCGCUAGCCUGAACCAGCCAAGUAGCGUGAAGGAUGAAGGCUCUAUGGGUCGUAAACUUCUUUUAUAUAAGAAUAAAGUGCAGUAUGUAUACUGUUUUGUAUGUAUUAUAUGAAUAAGGAUCGGCUAACUCCGUGCCAGCAGCCGCGGUAAUACGGAGGAUCCGAGCGUUAUCCGGAUUUAUUGGGUUUAAAGGGAGCGUAGGUGGACUGGUAAGUCAGUUGUGAAAGUUUGCGGCUCAACCGUAAAAUUGCAGUUGAUACUGUCAGUCUUGAGUACAGUAGAGGUGGGCGGAAUUCGUGGUGUAGCGGUGAAAUGCUUAGAUAUCACGAAGAACUCCGAUUGCGAAGGCAGCUCACUGGACUGCAACUGACACUGAUGCUCGAAAGUGUGGGUAUCAAACAGGAUUAGAUACCCUGGUAGUCCACACAGUAAACGAUGAAUACUCGCUGUUUGCGAUAUACAGUAAGCGGCCAAGCGAAAGCAUUAAGUAUUCCACCUGGGGAGUACGCCGGCAACGGUGAAACUCAAAGGAAUUGACGGGGGCCCGCACAAGCGGAGGAACAUGUGGUUUAAUUCGAUGAUACGCGAGGAACCUUACCCGGGCUUAAAUUGCAGUGGAAUGAUGUGGAAACAUGUCAGUGAGCAAUCACCGCUGUGAAGGUGCUGCAUGGUUGUCGUCAGCUCGUGCCGUGAGGUGUCGGCUUAAGCGCCAUAACGAGCGCAACCCUUAUCUUUAGUUACUAACAGGUUAUGCUGAGGACUCUAGAGAGACUGCCGUCGUAAGAUGUGAGGAAGGUGGGGAUGACGUCAAAUCAGCACGGCCCUUACGUCCGGGGCUACACACGUGUUACAAUGGGGGGUACAGAAGGCAGCUAGCGGGUGACCGUAUGCUAAUCCCAAAAGCCUCUCUCAGUUCGGAUCGAAGUCUGCAACCCGACUUCGUGAAGCUGGAUUCGCUAGUAAUCGCGCAUCAGCCACGGCGCGGUGAAUACGUUCCCGGGCCUUGUACACACCGCCCGUCAAGCCAUGGGAGCCGGGGGUACCUGAAGUACGUAACCGCAAGGAUCGUCCUAGGGUAAAACUGGUGACUGGGG
rnacentral:rRNA from 1 species